rnacentral:rRNA from 1 species
AUGGCCCGUCGCCUGGUAGUCAUCCUCCUCCUCUCAUCAGCUGCAACACUAGCUGAUAGCAGUACAGACACGGACAGAGAUGCGCUGCUCUGCAUCAAGUCCGGCCUCCGCAGUCCCACUGGAGCUCUGGCCACAUGGAACAGCACCACCUCGCCGGAUUUCUGCACCUGGCACGGUGUCUCGUGCACCAGAAGCACGGGGCAACCACCCAUCGUGGCGGCCUUGUAUGUGGAGGCAGGAGACCUGGCCGGUGACAUACCACCCUGCAUCUCCAACCUCACUUCUCUGGUAAGGAUCCACCUACCCAACAACCAGCUCUCCGGCAAUAUCCCGCUGGAGCUUGGCCGGCUCUCCGGGCUCCGGUACCUCAACCUCAGCUUCAACAUGCUGAGCGGCACCAUCCCAUCCAUCCUCGGUGGGCUUCGCAACCUCUCUUCUCUGGACCUUGGCAGCAACGGACUUUCGGGCGAGAUUCCGCCGCUGCUCGGGAGCUCGUCUGCUCUGGAGACUGUCAGUCUCCCCAACAAUAUUCUUGACGUCGGCACUGGGCAAUUUGGGAUAGUCUACAAAGGUUGGUUCGACGCACAAGACGGCAUGGUUGCUGUGAAAGUAUUCAAGCUCAAUCAACAUGGCGCACUGCAGAGCUUCAUUGCUGAGUGCAAGGCAUUGCAACACAUCGGUCACCGAAAUAUCGUGAAGGUGAUAACUGCAUGCUCAACUACUGACUUGGUGGGAAGUGAGUUCAAAGCUCUAGUCUUUAAGUAUAUGGCCAAUGGGAGCCUUGAAAACCGACUUCAUAACCAGUGUGGUUAUUUGAGUUUAGGGGCGGUGAUAUGCAUAUCAGUUGACAUUGCUUCCGCUCUCGAAUACCUCCAUAACCAGUGCAUCCCACCAGUUGUUCACUGUGAUAUGAAGCCAAACAACAUACUUUUCGAUGAAGACGAUACUGCACAUGUCAGUGACUUUGGUCUAGCAAGGCUAAUUUGUAGCUGUUCAUCCGAUGUGCAAAGCAGUGCAACAAGCAUAUUUGGGCCAAUGGGGUCUAUUGGGUACAUACCUCCCGAGUAUGGCCUAGCCAGUGAAAUCUCAACCAAGGGCGAUGUCUAUAGCUAUGGCAUUGUCCUUUUGGAAAUGCUCACACGGAAACAACCUACUCAUGGAGAAUUCAGUGAUGGUUUUACGCUCCACAAGUAUGUCGAAGCAUCACUUUCACAGAUUGAAGACAUUCUUCACCCUAGCCUUACUUCAGAAAUGGGAGGUGAACAUGUCAAUCAUAUCCCACACAUGCAAGGAUACAAGGCAUUUACGCUGAAGAAUAUGUGUGCUCUCCGGCUCCUUAAACUCGGCCUGUUAUGCUCCGCAGAAUCACCGAAAGAUCGCCCAACAAUGCAUGAUGUCUACAGUGAAGUAACCAAAGUAAAAGAGGAUUUUUUUCUUUAUGAACAGCUAAACGAGUGA